ensembl:lncRNA
GGGUUCAAUUCGAAUCAGCAUGCACUUCUAACUUGCUGUGUGUGGGGGCCAAGGGAGCCCGGCAGCCCGAGGACAGUCCCCCAGCCAACGGACACCGAGUUGGCUUCCGGGCACGCGCAAACAUGAGGUCACGCCCGUUUUCUCCUUAUUUUAUGUUUUUAUUUUUAUUCUUUUUAGGUGUAUUUAUUUAUUUUCAGGGGCACCUGGGUGGCUCGGUCAGCUAUGCGUCCGACUUCGGCUCAGGUCAGGGCUCCCUCUCUCUCUCUGCCCCUCCCCAGCUCGUGCUUUCCCUCUGUCUCAAAACAAUAAGAAAGUAAAUAAAGUUUGUUUAUGUAUUUUGAGAGGGACAGAGACAGCGUGAGCAGGGGAGGGGCAGAGCGGGAGAGAGACAGAGAAUCCCAAGCAGGCUCUGCGCCGUCAGCACGGGGCCCGAUGCGGGGCUCGAACUCGUGAAACCGUGAGAUCGUGACCUGAGCGCAAACCAAGGGUCGGACGCUUAAUCGACUGAGCCCCCCAGGGGCCUCCUCCUCAGGCUGAUUUCCCAUGCUCGCGCCUUCCACCCCCCCCCCCCCCCCCCCCCCCCCCCCCCCCCCCCCCCCCCCCCGCGUGUGCUUCUCGGGCUUUCUUUUGCGCUAGGCCUUCUCCUCAGGGGCCGCGUCGUUCUGCCCUGUGAGGUCUUGGGCCGAGCGGUGGGCCUGGAGGCCAGGACCCCGGGGGCGGUGGCAGUCCCGGGGAGUUUAAGGAGAGCCGCUGGCAUGGCAGAACCAGUGUUGGUCACUCCAGUUUGCGGCCCCGUCCCCCAGCAAAAGCCCUGGGUGGGGAUUUUCCUUUGGAGCCUCAGGCACCUGCGGCAGGGGACGGGCAGCCUUGCCGGCUUCUAGCCCAGCGGCCCCGGGGCCUGGGAGCUACUGGUCUGUCCAGCGCCUCUUUUGUGUCGGUUCCUCACGCAGCCGGCUUGCGUCCCCCGAUCGUUGCCCGCGCCCCCGGCCCUGGCAACGUGGGCUAUGGCCACGGAUUUGUGCCACGGCAGGGCAGGAAGUGAUAGUCCCAAGGCUCCAGGCAGAUGGGCGAUUGCAAGAGCCAAAUUUCGAAAGCUUCUCUCUUCCUUUUUCUUUCAGUUCUGCUUCCGGCCACCCACCAUCCCAGCACACACUUGAGGGACGCCUUCGGUUUCCCCUGGGCUCUCUCAUGGUUUUUUGGGUUGCCUUCUGGAAUCUAUGCUGCCCUGUCGUUUCUUGGGCGUGUCCAGGCUUGGGAGAGGGAGCCAGGGGCCCAGAGAAGCCUGCCUCUUGCCUGCCGGCCUUGACCUCACGCGUAGCCCGGGACAUGGUCUCUCCUGGGCCUCCUGCUCAGGUCUGGCUCCAGCUGAAUCCCGUCCAGCCCCAUCCUGGCGUUCGGUGGCUUUCACAGACCACGCUUUGGCCUCACGUCCCCUCUCUGGGCAUCUGGUCCCGAAUCGUCCCCGGAUGAUGAACACCGCGCAAUAUUCAGGACAGUUCAGCUGUUGAUAAUGUUUUGCAACCAAGGAGCAAGAUAUUAGCCCACUUGUGGGUGUGUACAGAGGUGUCAGAAAGAAGCUUCCACUUGGGGACAGAAGAGCCAAAAAAAAGAAGAAAAGAAGAAGGAGAAGAAAAAGAAAAAGAGUGCUCCCCUGACCAGUGAAGAGGUGGGUGCGGCAGCUGGGAGGGGUCCCUGGGGGAACAGCUCACCUGCACCUACAGCCAGAAGGCAGCCUCCCGUCUCAUCCACCCCUUCCCAUCAGUUAGGCAUCCGGGAAGAUGGACCUCUUCCUGCACUGUUUCUCCUUGAAAAAAAUUUUUUAACGUUUAUUUCAUUUUUGAGAGAGAGAGAGAGGGAGAGAGCGGGGCAAGGGCAGAGAGAGAGGGAGACAGAGGAUCCGAGGCCGGCUCCGGGCUCUGGGCUGACAGCAGCGAGCUCGAUGUGGGGCUCGAACCCACGAACCGGGAGAUCAUGACCUGAGACGAAGUUGGACCCUUAACCGACUGAGCCGCCCAGGCGCCCCUUCCUGCGCUGUUUUCUAAAGAUCGUGAUCUUUUAAGGGCUAUUGAGGAUUGCAUGUGUUUGAGAAACGCAGAGGCCCAGAGAACAGGGCAUUUGCAAUUGCAGAAACAAAUGAGCUCACAGAAGGGGUUUCCACAUCUCCGAGGGUGAACAUGGUGAUUGUAAUAUCUGCAUUACUUGUUACGAGCAUUAGCGGGCACGCAGAACCUGAGGGGUGUUAUUCUAAUAAAU